rnacentral:lncRNA from 1 species
UACAACCCGCACCCUUCUCAUGUCUUGGCUCAUGAACCGCUUCUACUCCAAGAGGACUUGUCUUAUGAAGAAGUAUCGGUCGGUAUCACGGACCGAGAGAGAAGAAUACUCCGCAAUCGGAAAAUAUCAUUUGUAAAGGUCGUGUGGCAGAACCACACGCCCAGGGAGGCUACUUGAGAAAUGGAAUCAUAAUUUAGAGCCCAAUAUCCCCAUUUAUUCGACCAAGAGUAAGAGGCAAAUUUGGGGGACUAAAUUUCUUUAAGGGGGGGAGAGUUGUAACACCCACUAAU